GACAGAGGCCCCAAGCGUUUAGGCGGAAUCACUGGGCUUAAAGCGUGUGUAGGCGGACGCCUAAGUGUCUUGUGAAAUCCCACGGCUCACCCGUGGAACUGCUGGGCAUACUGGGCGUCUUGGGCCAACUAGGGGCAGCCGGAACAAGCGGUGGAGCGGUGAAAUGCGUAGAUAUCGCUUGGAACGCCGAAGGUGAAAACAGGCUGCUGGGGUUGCGCCGACGCUGAGGCACGAAAGCCAGGGGAGCAAACGGG
rnacentral:rRNA from 1 species